GACAGUGUGGUCUAGUGGUAAGAGUGUGGGCCUAGGAGUCAGAGGACCUGGGUUCUAAUCCCAGCCCUCUCG
rnacentral:tRNA from 1 species